ensembl:lincRNA
AGGAAGGGCCCGCUGCUCCCGGGCCACCCCGGGACACAUGAGUUAGGGGCAAAAUUUAAUGCCGCAACAAAGCGACUCAUUUUUUUUGGUAACUGAGGCUGUUCCAGAACUUCUUACUCACUCUCGGCGCCGCCCCCGCGCUUCCAGGCCCCGGACCCGCCGCAAACACCGCUGGGCUUGGACUCAAACCGCGGUCCGGUCCCACCCGGUCUGGUCCAGUCCCGUUGGAGGCGGCGGUUGGGUUCAGCGUCAGGCGCGCGCCCUCUGCUGGCCGUUGGGAAGCGGCGAGGGAAGCGCUGAGCUCGCGGCCGAGCGGUGGUCGCUCGCCCCCUCGCGGGCUCUCCCGGAAUCGCUGACAUUCUCCGUCGCUUGCUCUCUGCUCCUGGCUGGGGAUGCUCCAUUUACAUGGAUUGGAAUAGACCUAAGCACCACAAUUACAAAAUCAGUUAUACGUUAAACAAAGCCUCAAAACACCAGGUAACCCAUGUUCUAAAUCACUGUUUGGGAGACAGCCAAACAGCCAUGGCUCCAAGGCGUAUCCCAGGAAAGGGAGCAGGCAAGGCUGGAGCAGAGCGUCCCCAGCCAGGAGCAGAGAGCAAGCGACGGAGAAUGUCAGCGAUUCCGGGAGAGCCCGCGAGGGGGCGAGCGACCACCGCUCGGCCGCGAGCUCAGCGCUUCCCUCGCCGCUUCCCAACGGCCAGCAGAGGGCGCGCGCCUGACGCUGAACCCAACCGCCGCCUCCAACGGGACUGGACCAGACCGGGUGGGACCGGACCGCGGUUUGAGUCCAAGCCCAGCGGUGUUUGCGGCGGGUCCGGGGCCUGGAAGCGCGGGGGCGGCGCCGAGAACGAAACUGGAAAAUGGCCUUCAUUGGAAAAGCCCCAGUCCUCGGGGAGCAGAUCCCCCAUCUCUGGCAGUGCAGUGCGCCUGGGAGCUGUCUGGAACAUUCCGCAAGUGCCGUGUUUGCCUGAAAGGACAUUGGCAGCCAGCAGGGGCGGCGGCUGGUCCUCUAGAUGGGCACGAAUGCCACUGGCAGGCAAUGGGGCAGACUCCAUGGAAAGAUGCUUCCCUUCCUCAAGGCUCAAGCUGAAGGCUUUGAGGCCAGUACAUGGAGUGACCUCAAUGGACUCGAGUGGUAGCAAGCUGAAUUUGGUCUCCAUCAUAUCUUUCUGCCCCCUAUUGUUACUUCCCUGACUAUAUUACAUUUUGUAGCAAAAGGGAUUUUGCAGAUGUAAUUAUGGUUACUAAUCCAUUGACAGAAAAUGAUCAUCUCAGUGGGCCUAAUCUAAUCACACAAGCCCUUAAAAACAGAAAGCUUGCUCUGGCUGGCAGAGAAAGAUUCCAAGUUAGAGACUCCACAAGUUGUUGCUGCUUUGAAGAUGGAGACAGCCAUGUUAGAGAGAAUACAGGAAGCCCAGAGGAGCAGAUCGCAGCUCCCAGCUGACAGUCAGCAAAGGAAAGCCUGCCUCAGACUUGUAGGUGUAAGGAAUUUGAUUUUUCCCAACAUCCUGAAUGAACUUCAAAGUUGAUUUUCCCCCAGAAUCUCAUGAUAGGAGCCCAAAUAGCUGCAGCCUUGAUUUCAACCUUGGAGAUCAUGUGCAGAGUGUCCAGUAGAUUCCAUCCAGACUUCUGAAUCCACCUACAGAAUUGUGAGAUAAUAAAUGGGUGUUCUUUUAAGAACAAAGUUUGUGGUGGUAUUGCAGUGGCCAUGGAAAAUUUGUACAGUAGUUAAUAGUAUUACUAUUAUUAUUAUUACUAUUACUAUUUUCAUCUCCACAGAGUUACACCAGAGAAGGUAUGUGCAUCUGCAGCAGGCCCAGCUCAGUCAACACCUCUCUGAGUACAUUCUAAAGCCACAGCAUGCAUGAGAUUCUGAGGGCCCAGGGUCACUUCUGAACACAGCAGCCCCCCAAAGACUCACAAGGCCAAUCACUGCCCACUGAGGCAGGGGUGGGGUAUCCAUCGGAAAGGGCUGAAAGAAGCUCUAGUAACCCAGAAGUGUCCUCCAGGACCUAAUUUGUGAGGUUACACUUCUACUUCUUGUCUUCUGGAAGCCAUGAAGGCAGAGCUCAUGUUCCACAGGUGAAGUCUUUAGUGACCUCCACUAGACAGUGUGAGUUGGAUGCCUAUCAGGCCUCCUUCCCUCCCCUUUUAGGAUGGGUCCAUCCCAAGACAUGAUGGGCAAGCCCUAUCCCCAGAUACACCUCCCAUCGGUCAUUUGGUCUCCUAAGUGGUUCCUGAGUACCACAAAAAUGCUAAGCACUAGAUGCUGGG